CAUGCAUUGAUCGCCGUUUGCAUGGAACUCUUCAGCGAUUGUGUCCAAUGCGUAUUGCAUAAGAGCCUGCAAAUCGUGGCGCGUCCGCCUUCAUUUAUGACGAAGUCACUUACUCAGGAACAGGUACAUUUCUGCAACACUGGGCUGGUCUGUCACUGCAUAAUUAUGCCAAGGAGAAACAUUUUCUGCAGUACAAGCAUGCUGUGUACUGCGGUUAAGGUCAAGUUCAGCACACGGUCGACCUGGGAAGAGUUUCUGGAUGUUGUGUUGCUACUGGCCUGGGGACACAUGCUCUUGAGCUGAGGGACACCAUCGGUGCAAUACAUACAUACCAAUGCAGUAGUUGCUGGGUUAACCCGAGUCAAAUAUAUAAUUUAUAAAGCAGUCAAACAUAAGAAUGACAUGGGAUUACCUGGGUAAGCAUCGAGCUCACUACAAGCCCAUCCAGGACCUGUACUUCAGCAUGGCUCUGGACUCUGACACGCCCAAGUUACUCUCCAUCAGACAUUAUAGAGCGUUGAUUUGGGAAGACCUUGUUGCCAGUUGAAGGUAGUGCAAUGGCUGCCUACGUUGAGACCAGCUAACGUAUACAUGUAUAAUCCUUCGUCAUGGUGCGAGUUGAAGGACCAGUGAUGAAAUCUCCAUAGCUGCAGACAUUUCAUAAGUAACACAGACAUUGACAUGGAAGCUGUGCGCAAGAACCAUAUCUACAAUGCCGAUGAGAAGAGUGCCCUCGCCUCCUUCAAUGGGGAGAGAAGCAAGAUGGAAGACAAGAUCCUAUAGGACUUCCCAGAGAUGAUCCGACAAGCACGUCAAGAAGAGGAAAUAACUCAGAUAGAUGCCAGUCCUGACCUCCAUCACUGAGGAGGAACAGUUUCCAAGACUGCAUGAGGGAUCCUUAUCAGAAUCUUUACGGCAUUGAUUCACAAAAAGGCAAGGAAAGGACUCAAUCUUCUCAGGGGUCAGCUUGUAAGUCCGAUGCCUCAUAGGUCCGAAGCCUCAUAGGUCCGACAAAUGUGUUUAAAAGUUUUUUCGGCCCAUAUGGCAUAGAUCCAACUGCUCAAAAAAGUCCUCAAAAAGUCCGAUGUUUGAUUUGGCGCUCGUUACAAGCGUAUUGAAGACAGUGUAGGAACAAGACUGGUUCCCAGUGUCAAGUAUGGUGUACUGUUUAUGACACAAAGCGUCGCCUUGCGCGGGCCCUUAAUAUUCUACGCCUUAUUAUUCUGACACCUCAUAACUCCGAAAAUUCGAACUUUUGAGGCGUCGGACCUAAGCCUCAAACUCACGAUAAGCACCCUCUCACAUGUCAGAGAUGCAGUUCUUUGCUUCCAUCUUAGUAUGUAAUGGAGCAAGUCUAUCUGCAUUUGUACACUACUCAAAACGAUCAAGGAUCAGAAUUUUAAAGAACGGAUUCUCAAAUAUGAGUGUCGUUUAAUGUGGUUAAAUGUUCUGGCAACAUAAGUCCAAUGCAUUCUUUACAAAGAACUGAAGUCCCGUAUGACAUUGAAAAACACUUUGGUGAGCACAUUGUUGAGGCCUCCUACACAGCCCUAAAAAUGAUAAAAGUGGAGUUAUUGGCGCAUUUGAGUUAGGAUGAUAUCCUGGUAUAUAAUGUGGGGGCUCAAUUUAUGAGCUAGAAUGAUAUCCUGAUAAUUUGAGGGCGCUGUUUAUAAGUUAGAAUGAUAUCCUGGUAAUGGGAGGGUGCUAUUUAUGAGCUAGAAUGAUAUCCUGAUAAUGGGAGGGCACUAUUUAUGAGUUAGAAUGAUAUCUUGAUAUUGUGAGGGCGCUAUUUAUGAGUUAGAAUGAUAUCCUGAUAAUGUGAGG